rnacentral:rRNA from 1 species
GUGGGGAAUAUUGCACAAUGGAGGAAACUCUGAUGCAGCGACGCCGCGUGAGUGAAGAAGGUCUUCGGAUCGUAAAACUCUGUCCUUGGUGAAGAAUAAAUGACGGUAGCCAAGGAGGAAGCCCCGGCUAACUACGUGCCAGCAGCCGCGGUAAUACGUAGGGGGCGAGCGUUGUCCGGAUUUACUGGGCGUAAAGGGUGAGUAGGCGGUAAUAUGUGUCAGAUGUAAAAGGCUAUGGCUUAACCAUAGUUGGCAUUUGAAACUGUAUUACUUGAGUGCAGGAGAGGUAAGUGGAAUUCCUAGUGUAGCGGUGAAAUGCGUAGAUAUUAGGAGGAACACCAGUGGCGAAGGCGACUUACUGGACUGUAACUGACGCUGAGUCACGAAAGCGUGGGUAGCAAACAGG